UCUGUACACUGCGGGCGCCCGGGCAUGUCUGUCGUUGUCUUCUGCUUUGGCGGUUGACGAGGAAUGUGUCCGGUGCUGAGAAGCGAGUGGUCUGGAUGUAUGCUAGACCGUUCGGCGCGUCACUUUCGCGAGAAAGAGAUGCGUACCGCCUGAACUUGAUCAUGUUAGCACAUGCGUAAAAGGAAGUGUCUUGUAUCAUCC
rnacentral:ncRNA from 1 species